rnacentral:rRNA from 1 species
GAUGAACGCCGGCGGUGUGCCUAAUACAUGCAAGUCGUACGCACUGGCCCAACUGAUUGAUGGUGCUUGCACCUGAUUGACGAUGGAUCACCAGUGAGUGGCGGACGGGUGAGUAACACGUAGGUAACCUGCCCCGGAGCGGGGGAUAACAUUUGGAAACAGAUGCUAAUACCGCAUAAGACCACAGCACCGCAUGGUGCAGGGGUAAAAACUCCGGUGGUAUGAGAUGGACCCGCGUCUGAUUAGGUAGUUGGUGGGGUAACGGCCUACCAAGCCGACGAUCAGUAGCCGACCUGAGAGGGUGACCGGCCACAUUGGGACUGAGACACGGCCCAA